rnacentral:tRNA from 1 species
GUUUUAAUAGUUUAUUAAAAACAUUGGUCUUGUAAAUCAAAAAAAAAGAUUUUUCUUUUAAAACU